rnacentral:rRNA from 1 species
GCAAGUCGAACGGCAGCGCGGGAGCUUGCUCCUGGCGGCGAGUGGCGGACGGGUGAGGAACACGUAGGAAUCUGCCUUAGAGUGGGGAACAACUCGGGGAAACUCGAGCUAAUACCGCAUAUGCCCUACGGGGUAAAGGUCGCUUGCGAUCGCUCUAAGAUGAGCCUGCGUCCGAUUAGCUAGUUGGUAGGGUAAAGGCCUACCAAGGCGACGAUCGGUAGCUGGUCUGAGAGGAUGAUC